GUUUGCUAUUGUAAUUAAUUGGGUAUUGAGAAUUUUGGGGAUAUUGAUAACUACAUAUUUGUAAUACUGUUCUUUAAAAAUGAAAAAUGUUACCUUGUUCAAUUCAUUUGCUUUCACUCACAGUGGAAUAUGGCCAGAUAUGAAGAGGAAAUGGAUCUCAUUUUUGAAUUUUAGGUAAAGAAAGAUGAUACCUCUCUGAAUCCAGAAACUGAACUGUUGGAGAAGACACCAUGAAGAAGCCUCCAGACCACAAGCUGCACAAAAAUGAAGUUUGGAGAAUUUUUGGAUAAAAAAAAGGCAAAAUAUGAUAAAAGUUGAUACCCAAGACAAACAAGGAAACAAUAAGAAUGCAUCUAUGUACCUUCAAUGAGCCUCAGAAAAACCUCAUUCCAAGGAACCAAAAAAAAAAAAAGAAAAGAAAUCCCCGGAUAUGA